GCCAAAUACUGCUGGUAACCAAAUCCAAAAUUAUAACUCUGAUUUUAAGGUAUUUCACACAUUGCAUGUCAGAUUUCACACUCACUUUUCCUGUAUGCAAUUAUGUUUGCGUCAAAAUUUGGAGAACACGAUGGCUCAGUUUGAGCACAGAACAGACAUUUUGCUUUCUCUGCAAAAUAUGCUUUGUGUAUGAGCAAAAGGAUAAAUAUUCUGCGAUUUGUGCUCAGAAUUUAGGCACAAAUAUAACUCCAUAUCCAUACAGUAUCCUGUAACAUCAGAGAGACUUUUUGAAAUGGAACCGUGUUUAUAUUCUCAAUAUUCAAGAGUUCCUUCACUUUUAGUUUUGUUUUAAAAUGACACUACAUUCAUCAACACAUGCCAAUCCAAAAUGUGAACUUAAAUUUGUGACCUUUGUUGUAUGUACAGUAUAGUAUGUGGUCUAAUGUAUACAUGAUUACAGUAGUCCUCAUGAGAUAUCAGCAUUUACAUACUUUGAUACCAAAAAAAUGGCAGAAUUUUUAUCUUCUACAUUGGGAUCAGCUUUAUCAAGGUUUUUGUUUUUCCACUUUUGGAAGCAUUUUAUUAUCUGCGGUACCUGUGGGCAUCCCAUAAUGCUCCAGUACUCUGUAUUCAAACCAAAAAAAAAUGCAGUUGGAAUACAGUAAUGUUUAUAUAAAUUAAAAUGGAAACAAAUACCCUGAUGGCACACAAAUCCAGAUGAUGUUUGGAUAUAUUUUUAUGUCUCCAUUUUGUGAAUAAGUCAUCAUUUUUUGUUUGAUUUUUUUUUCUUUUAAUCCUACCAUUAUAUGUGAAUUAUCCCAAGAAUGCUCUAUAUACAGUAUGUAGAUAUGCACUGUUACUCUUCUUUUGCAUCUUUGAAUUUGGACAGUAGCUAUUUUUAUGCAGCCUGUUUGAGUUCCUAUUGGAUUUAGGGUGAAAUCCUUUUUAUUGUUUUGUACUCAGAUCACCGACACAAACCUGCACCCCAGAUGGCUGCUGUCCCAAUGAAGGUGGUGUGAAAACUUAGUGUUAACAUCGCCCUCUGGCUUUAUUUGUAGCUGAACUGAACUCUUACAGGAAACUAAAUUCAGUCCCGAGAUCCCAAAAAGUCACAAAACAGCCCGAGAAACCACAGAGCUACAGCGUGGCGGUUUGACUGCACCAAACAUUCAGAUGACUCAGAGCGGCUCCCCCUCCACUCACCUGCUCAGUAUUACAGCCGAGGGGCCGAGCACCAUUGAAGUGAUGCACAGAACCUGCCUCAGUCGUGUCUUCGGAAGUCAUCGGCGUGAACUGACAGCGGCGGCCAUGCAAGACAAACACGAGGAUUGUUUUUUGCACCCCUCAAAAAAAAGGCUUAACUCUACUUUUCACAUUGCCUGUCAAAUAUUAUCGAAGCUUCAUGUAAUGAUGCUUUUUAGUUUUUGAAUAUAAAAGGAAAAGAGACAUGAAAAGAAAAACGAACAAUUUGUAAAACAUAAAAUGUUUUAUUUGUUGCAUGUCUUUUUGUUCUUCAAUAAAAUAACGUACUGCAGUGUUUUGAAUGUUAACUUCUUUUUUAUAAGGAUUUCAGAGUGAAAUCGUGGAGCCUUUUUCUUGACAGGUUUUAACUUUUAAGAUCUCUGCGUAUGUAAAAAGGUAUCAAAUGGAAAACUAUUGUCUUUUUAAUUCCAAUUCAAAACCUGUUUUCUGUGGAGAAAAAUAGCUGAAAGGUGUAGGUUUUAUGGUCUCUUAAUUUGUACUGGCAAUGCGUAUCCCAAAUAAAUAGUUUCUUUUGUUGCAUAAA
ensembl:lncRNA